rnacentral:tRNA from 1 species
GGAAAGGUGGCUCAGUGGUAGAGUGCUUGCCUCACAUGCAUGAAUUCUGGGUUCAAUUCCUCAGUACCA